CAGUCGCCGCGGUAAAACGAAGGGGGCUAGCGUUGCUCAGAAUGACUGGGCGUAAAGGGCGCGUAGGCGGCGAUCAAAGUCAGGCGUGAAAUUCCUGGGCUCAACCUGGGGGCUGCGUUUGAUACUUGAUUGCUAGAGUGGGGAAGAGGGUCGUGGAAUUCCCAGUGUAGAGGUGAAAUUCGUAGAUAUUGGGAAGAACACCGGUGGCGAAGGCGGCGACCUGGUCCUUGACUGACGCUGAGGCGCGAAAGCGUGGGGAGCAAACAGGAUUAGAUACCCCGGUAGUCCCUGUCUCUUAUAC
rnacentral:rRNA from 1 species